rnacentral:rRNA from 1 species
GAUGAACGCUGGCGGCGUGCCUAAUACAUGCAAGUCGAGCGAACGGACGAGAAGCUUGCUUCUCUGAUGUUAGCGGCGGACGGGUGAGUGACACGUGGAUAACCUACCUAUAAGACUGGGAUAACUUCGGGAAACCGUAGCUAAUACCGGAUAAUAUUUUGAACCGCAUGGUUCAAAAGUGAAAGACGGUCUUGCUGUCACUUAUAGAUGGAUCCGCGCUGCAUUAGCUAGUUGGUAAGGUAACGGCUUACCAAGGCAACGAUGCAUAGCCGACCUGAGAGGGGGAUCGGCCACACUAGAGCUGGAACACGGUCCAGACUCCUACGGGACGCAGCAGUAGGGAAUCUUCCGCAAAAGGCGAAAGCCUGACGGAGCAACGCCGCGUGAGUGAUGAAGGUCUUCCGAUCGUAAAACUCUGUUAUGAGUGAAGAACAUAUGUGUAAGUAACUGUACACAUCGUGACGGUACCUAAUCAGAAAGCCACGGCUAACUACGUG